rnacentral:rRNA from 1 species
GACGAACGCUGGCGGCGUGCCUAAUACAUGCAAGUUGAGCGCUGAAGGUUGGUACUUGUACCGACUGGAUGAGCAGCGAACGGGUGAGUAACGCGUGGGGAAUCUGCCUUUGAGCGGGGGACAACAUUUGGAAACGAAUGCUAAUACCGCAUAAAAACUUUAAACACAAGUUUUAAGUUUGAAAGAUGCAAUUGCAUCACUCAAAGAUGAUCCCGCGUUGUAUUAGCUAGUUGGUGAGGUAAAGGCUCACCAAGGCGAUGAUACAUAGCCGACCUGAGAGGGUGAUCGGCCACAUUGGGACUGAGACACGGCCCAAACUCCUACGGGAGGCAGCAGUAGGGAAUCUUCGGCAAUAGACGAAAGUCUGACCGAGCAACGCCGCGUGAGUGAAGAAGGUUUUCGGAUCGUAAAACUCUGUUGGUAGAGAGGAACGUUGGUGAGAGUGGAAAGCUCAUCAAGUGACGGUAACUACCCAGAAAGGGACGGCUAACUACGUG